GCCUGGCAGUGUUGCCCAGGAGGAGGCAGUGGAGUUAAGAAGCCUGGGUCUGAGCUCCUCAGCUGUGCAGACAACUCCUACUUGUUCUUCAACGCUCAACUUUAAGUUCAGUCACCACCUGCAGAAGUCUUCUCCAAAACCUCCCCACCUGGCUGACUAAGGGGCUGGCUUUAUGCUCUUGCAGUACUCAUGCUUCCUACUGUCACAGUUCUGACCACACCGUGG
rnacentral:lncRNA from 1 species